rnacentral:tRNA from 1 species
GGUGGCUCAAUGGUAGAGUGCUUGCCUUACAUACAUGAGGCGCUGGGUUCGAUUCCUCAGCACCA